rnacentral:lncRNA from 1 species
AAGGAGGAUGCCUCCUUAUUUCUUUGCGCACACCUCUCUUAACUAACUCACGGUGAUUUAGUUUUUUUUUUUCCUUUUUGCACAAAAGAAUUAAGACCAGCAUAAUCACUAGUGUUAAGGUGCUGGCCCUUUUAUAUUUGACAUCCCACAAAUCAGAUCAAAGUCCUAAAGUGGUUAGGAUUCCAAACCAUAUCCAAAGAUGAAACCGCAUG